AAUCUCAUUUUUCAUUGCGAUCUCAUUUUCACAUCAUUGCAAGGAUACUUAUGAAGGUAAAAAUGAAUAUGUAUUUGCUUCUGUCAUUUCUAUUUCUAAAGACAGUUAAUUGUGCUCCAGUGACUUAUAAUUGUAUAAUCAUGGCCAUAUUCUGAGUCUGAAAUAGUGUUAUUCUGAAUGUCUUAACACCCUUGGCAGUCUUUAUCCAGUAUAACAUCAUAUAACAGGUUAUGUCACCAUAUACAAAAUAGAUCAUGCGUUUUGCAAAGAUAAUCAUUUAUUUUAGGUCUAAGAAAACAAGAACUGACUACAAUCUUUAAGUUAUGAUUGCUGCUGAAUGACGCAUUGUAUGACUUAAUUUCAUGAUUUUUCUUUUAAUAAAGUCUCUUGGUC